rnacentral:lncRNA from 1 species
GUUACUUUAAAUUUAAUAAAUGCUACCUCAGUGAAAUUAACUUAGAAACCAAAUUUAGAAGUUUUUAGGGUGUUUUAUGUUACUUAAGUUCAAGAUUAAAGCGUUUCUAUUACAAAUUGAAGUUUAGAUACCUUAUUGUUACACACCCCAAAGUUGAAGUACCAUUUGUGUAAUUUGCCCCAAGUUUUGUUCACACAAAGUUGCUCCUCAAGAGAGUUUGAAACAUUCAUUUUAGGAUUCUACAUUUUAGAUAUCCAGUCAAAAUUAGUUGACAUCUAACAAAAGAUUUAAGGCUUUGCAAUUUUAAUACUUUCUCAUAUUUUAUCUUCUAGAAGAGGAAUCUAAUGCUCCUAUAUAUGAUAAUUUUUAUCAACAAUUCUUCUUAUCAAUAUGCAAUCAAGCUUGAACAUUCCAAAAUAAUAAACAGAUUAUAGUUAUUCAGUGAGAGAGAGAGAGACAAAAGCCAAUCAGGCCUAGCCUAGUUGGUCUACUCGCACACUUUAAAAGAGUUUGGAGAGUGGGGAGUCUUGGGUUCAAGUUCAAUUCCUCCCAUCCACCAAUAUAGUUGGAGUUUCCAAAGGGUUAUGAGAGAGAAAACACGUUACUUUACAUUUAAUAAAUGCUACCUCAGUGAAAUUAACUUAGAAACCAAAUUUAGAAGUUUUUAGGGUGUUUUGUGUUAUUUAAGUUCAAGAUUAAAGCGUUUCUGUUACAAAUUGAAGUUUAGAUACCUUAUUGUUACACACCCCAAAGCUGAAGUACCAUUUGUGUAAUUUGCCCCAAGUUUUGUUCACACAAAGUUGCUCCUCAAGAGAGUUUGAAACAUUCAUUUUAGGAUUCUACAUUUUAGAUAUCCAGAGUCAAACUUAGUUGACAUCUAACAAAAGAUUUAAGGCUUUGCAAUUUUAAUGCUUUCUCAUAUUUUAUCUUCUAGAAGAGGAAUCUAAUGCUCCUAUAUAUGAUCAUUUUUAUCAACAAUUCUUCUUAUCAAUACGCAAUCAAGCUUGAA